UACGUAGGGGGCAAGCGUUGUCCGGAAUCAUUGGGCGUAAAGCGCGUGUAGGCGGCUUGAUAAGUCUGCUCUGAAAGCCCGGGGCUCAACCCUGGGAGGCGGGUGGAUACUGUCGAGCUCGAGUCCGGAAGAGGAGUGUGGAAUUCCUGGUGUAGCGGUGAAAUGCGCAGAUAUCAGGAGGAACACCAAUGGCGAAGGCAGCACUCUGGGACGUGACUGACGCUGAGACGCGAAAGCGUGGGGAGCAAACAGG
rnacentral:rRNA from 1 species